rnacentral:rRNA from 1 species
AGUGAACGCUGGCGGUAGGCCUAACACAUGCAAGUCGAACGGCAGCACAGUAAGAGCUUGCUCUUACGGGUGGCGAGUGGCGGACGGGUGAGGAAUACAUCGGAAUCUACUUUUUCGUGGGGGAUAACGUAGGGAAACUUACGCUAAUACCGCAUACGACCUACGGGUGAAAGCAGGGGAUCUUCGGACCUUGCGCGAUUGAAUGAGCCGAUGUCGGAUUAGCUAGUUGGCGGGGUAAAGGCCCACCAAGGCGACGAUCCGUAGCUGGUCUGAGAGGAUGAUCAGCCACCCGGGAACGGAGACACGGUCCAGACCCCUACGGGAGGAAGCAGUGGGGAAUAUUGGAAAAGGGGCGCAACCCUGAUCCAGCCAAACCGCGGGGGGGAAGAAGGCCUUCGGGUUGUAAAGCCCUUUUUUUGGGAAAAAAAAGCAGCAGGUUAAUCCCCCCCUGUUUUGACGGUACCAAAAGAAAAACCACCGGCUAACUUCUU